CAUGCAUGUCUAAGUAUAAACGAUUUAAUCGUGAAACCGCGAAUGGCUCAUUAUAACAGCUAUAAUUUACUUGAUCUUGACACAAUCCUACUUGGAUAACUGUGGUAAUUCUAGAGCUAAUACAUGCAUUAAAGCUCUGACCUCACGGGAAGAGUGCAUUUAUUAGAACAAAACCAAGCGGCUUCGGCUGUUUCUGGUUGACUCAUAGUAACUGAGCUGAUCGCAUGGUCUUGCACCGGCGACGUGUCUUUCAAGUAUCUGCCGUAUCAACUUUCGAUGGUAGUGUAUCUGACUACCAUGGUGAUCACGCGUAACGGAGAAUAAGGGUUCGGCUCCGGAGAGUUCGCCUGAGAAAUCGCGAACACAUCUAAGGAAGGCAGCAGGCGCGAAAAUUCACCCACUCUCAGCACGAGGAGGUAGUGACGAAAAAUAACGAGACCGUUCUCUUAUGAGGCCGGUCAUCGGAAUGGGUACAAUUUAAACCCUUUAACGAGUAUC
rnacentral:rRNA from 1 species